rnacentral:tRNA from 1 species
UACAAAGCGGUGUGAGGGCACGAAGAAUUUUGAUUUCUUAAGAGAGGUUCAUAACCUCCUGG